AGAUUGAACGCUGGCGGCAGGCCUAACACAUGCAAGUCGAGCGGCAGCACGGGUACUUGUACCUGGUGGCGAGCGGCGGACGGGUGAGUAAUGCCUAGGAAUCUGCCUGGUAGUGGGGGAUAACGCUCGGAAACGGACGCUAAUACCGCAUACGUCCUACGGGAGAAAGCAGGGGACCUUCGGGCCUUGCGCUAUCAGAUGAGCCUAGGUCGGAUUAGCUAGUUGGUGAGGUAAUGGCUCACCAAGGCGACGAUCCGUAACUGGUCUGAGAGGAUGAUCAGUCACACUGGAACUGAGACACGGUCCAGACUCCUACGGGAGGCAGCAGUGGGGAAUAUUGGACAAUGGGCGAAAGCCUGAUCCAGCCAUGCCGCGUGUGUGAAGAAGGUCUUCGGAUUGUAAAACUGCUUUUGUACGGAACGAAACGGUCUGCUUUAAUACAGCGGACUAAUGACGGUACCGUAAGAAUAAGCACCGGCUAACUACGUGCCAGCACG
rnacentral:rRNA from 1 species